rnacentral:rRNA from 1 species
CCCUUAGAUGUUCUGGGCCGCACGCGCGCUACACUGAUGCAUUCAACGAGUCUAAAACCUGCUCUGAUAGGGGUGGGUAAUCUUUUGAAUGUGCAUCGUGAUUGGGAUAGAUGAUUGCAAUUUUUCAUCUUCAACGAGGAAUGCCUAGUAAACGCAAGUCAUCAGCUUGCAUUGAUUACGUCCCUGCCCUUUGUACACACCGCCCGUCGCUCCUACCGAUUGAAUGAUCCGAUGAAUAUCAUGGAUUGAGGAUUAUAGCAGGUUCGCCUGUCCUGAUCUUCGAGAAGUGAAGUAAAUCUUAUCAUUUAGAGGAAGGAGAAGUCGUAACA